rnacentral:lncRNA from 1 species
CAUGGGUUCUAAGGAUGUUGUUCUACACAUUCGACCUAUCCGAUCGUCGGGUACCAUUGCUAGAUGGUCACUUCGAUUGGUACAAAAAUUUAUUCCUAUACUAUCGGCUUAGGUUCGGACCUAUGAGGUCACACAUAUUAGAGUUCAUGAUCCGAUCGGAUGGUUGAUCAACGAUUAAGAAUCGUUCUAGGGUUAAAUGAUCAAUACGAUUGACAUUUAACCCAGUGCAAGUGUUGCAGGAGGAUCGAUUAGCAAUUCGAUUGCUAAUUGGCUUAAUUUGAUUAAGCCAAUGGACUGAGAUUAAGUCUAAUUAAAUAUAAUUUAAUUAGAUUUAAUUUGGUCUUGAUUGGAUCAAGUCCAAUUGGUUUAUUGGAUAAGCCAAGUGCAAGGAAAAACUAGUCCUAGUUCAACUAGGACUUGGGUCAAUUUAAUUUCUAAUUUGAUUAAAAAAUUAAAUC